AGUGAAACACUGGUUUCCAUAUGAUCACCAAAGUUAAAAAAACAAAGCCUGGUCAGUACCUUGAUGGGUGACCACUUGGGAAUACCAAGUGCUGUAAG